CUGCUUGACCCUCAAUACAAAGCCUUGUCUCAUAUUUGGGGGGGGAUUAUUCGUGUGUUUUCCUGUUCUGCACUUAGGAGUGUUCGGUAGUUGAUUUCGUAUUCGGAAGAGAACAUCUUUGGCGGCGUUAACCACUUCUAUACCUGGGGUGCCGUUACAGUGGCAAAUAGUUGGUAUUAUCCAGGAACAUUAUGUUGAAUUUGGUUGGAGUUAAAGGGGUUUGCAACAAACAAAGAGAUAAAGUCCAGUAUGAAUAAAGCAGGUUGGUUGAGUUGACUCCGGAAGUUGUAAAGUUGGUAUGCAAACAAGGUAAAAAACAAACAAAAAAAAAAACCAAUAAAGUCCAAUAUGAAAUAAAGCAGG